UGGGGAAUUUUGGACAAUGGGCGCAAGCCUGAUCCAGCAAUGCCGCGUGCAGGAUGAAGGCCUUCGGGUUGUAAACUGCUUUUGUACGGAANGAAAAGCCUCUCUCUAAUACAGGGGGGUGAUGACGGUACCGUAAGAAUAAGCACCGGCUAACUACGUGCCAGCAGCCGCGGUAAUACGUAGGGUGCAAGCGUUAAUCGGAAUUACUGGGCGUAAAGCGUGCGCAGGCGGUUUUGUAAGACAGUGGUGAAAUCCCCGGGCUCAACCUGGGAACUGCCAUUGUGACUGCAAGGCUGGAGUGCGGCAGAGGGGGGAUGGAAUUCCGCGUGUAGCAGUGAAAUGCGUAGAUAUGCGGAGGAACACCGAUGGCGAAGGCAAUCCCCUGGGCCUGCANUGACGCUCAUGCACGAAAGCGUGGGGAGCAAACAGGAUUAGAUACCCUGGUAGUCCACGCCCUAAACGAUGUCAACUGGUUGUUGGGGAUUUAUUUCUUCAGUAACGAAGCUAACGCGUGAAGUUGA
rnacentral:rRNA from 1 species